UACGUAGGUGGCAAGCGUUGUCCGGAUUUAUUGGGUUUAAAGGGUGCGUAGGUGGCCCUGUAAGUCAGUGGUGAAAUAUCUCAGCUUAACUGAGAGGGUGCCAUUGAUACUGCAGGGCUUGAGUACAGAUGAGGUAGGCGGAAUUGACGGUGUAGCGGUGAAAUGCAUAGAUAUCGUCAAGAACACCGAUAGCGAAGGCAGCUUACCAAGCUGUAACUGGCACUGAGGCACGAAAGUGUGGGGAUCAAACAGG
rnacentral:rRNA from 1 species